rnacentral:rRNA from 1 species
UACGUAGGUGGCAAGCGUUGUCCGGAAUUAUUGGGCGUAAAGCGCGCGCGGGCGGUCCUUUAAGUCUGAUGUGAAAGCCCACGGCUCAACCGUGGAAGGUCAUUGGAAACUGGAGGACUUGAGUACAGAAGAGGAAAGCGGAAUUCCACGUGUAGCGGUGAAAUGCGUAGAGAUGUGGAGGAACACCAGUGGCGAAGGCGG